CCGGGGGGGGUGCUAUACAUGCAAGUCGAGCGGACAGAAGGGAGCUUGCUCCCGGAUGUUAGCGGCGGACGGGUGAGUAACACGUGGGUAACCUGCCUGUAAGACUGGGAUAACUCCGGGAAACCGGAGCUAAUACCGGAUAGUUCCUUGAACCGCAUGGUUCAAGGAUGAAAGACGGUUUCGGCUGUCACUUACAGAUGGACCCGCGGCGCAUUAGCUAGUUGGUGAGGUAACGGCUCACCAAGGCGACGAUGCGUAGCCGACCUGAGAGGGUGAUCGGCCACACUGGGACUGAGACACGGCCCAGACUCCUACGGGAGGCAGCAGUAGGGAAUCUUCCGCAAUGGACGAAAGUCUGACGGAGCAACGCCGCGUGAGUGAUGAAGGUUUUCGGAUCGUAAAGCUCUGUUGUUAGGGAAGAACAAGUGCAAGAGUAACUGCUUGCACCUUGACGGUACCUAACCAGAAAGCCACGGCUAACUACGUGCCAGCAGCCGCGGUAAUACGUAGGUGGCAAGCGUUGUCCGGAAUUAUUGGGCGUAAAGGGCUCGCAGGCGGUUUCUUAAGUCUGAUGUGAAAGCCCCCGGCUCAACCGGGGAGGGUCAUUGGAAACUGGGAAACUUGAGUGCAGAAGAGGAGAGUGGAAUUCCACGUGUAGCGGUGAAAUGCGUUGAGAUGUGGGAGGAACACCAGUGGCGAACGCGACUCUCUGGUCUGUAUC
rnacentral:rRNA from 1 species